CUAAAGUGGGGGAUAACAUUUGGAAACAGAUGGUAAUACCGCAUAAAACCUAGCACCGCAUGGUGCAAGGUUGAAAGAUGGUUUCGGCUAUCACUGUAGGAUGGACCCGCGGCGCAUUAGUUAGUUGGUGAGGUAAAGGCUCACCAAGACCGUGAUGCAUAGCCGACCUGAGAGGGUAAUUGGCCACACUGGGAUUGAGACACGGCCCAGACUCCUACGGGAGGCAGCAGUAGGGAAUUUUCCACAAUGGACGAAAGUUUGAUGGAGCAACGCCGCGUGAGUGAAGAAGGUUUUCGGAUCGUAAAACUCUGUUGUUGGAGAAGAACGUAUUUGAUAGUAACUGAUCAGGUAGGGGCGGUAUCCAACCAGAAAGCCAGGGCUAAUUACGUGCCAGCAGCCGCGGUAAUACGUAGGUGGCAAGCGUUGUCCGGAUUUAUUGGGCGUAAAGCGAGCGCAGGCGGUUUCUUAAGUCUGAUGUGAAAGCCUUCGGCUCAACCGAAGAAGUGCAUCGGAAACUGGGAAACU
rnacentral:rRNA from 2 species